rnacentral:rRNA from 1 species
AACGACUCUCGGCAACGGAUAUCUCGGCUCUCGCAUCGAUGAAGAACGUAGCGAAAUGCGAUACUUGGUGUGAAUUGCAGAAUCCCGUGAACCAUCGAGUCUUUGAACGCAAGUUGCGCCCGAAGCCAUCAGGUUGAGGGCACGUCUGCCUGGGCGUC